GCUUUCAUCUCCUAAAACUCACAUAUUCUGAUUUUCCCUCACAGUGUGUGGAGUAACAGCUGUACAAGUUCUGUUGUCUAGAGACAGAUAAAGAAUUGGACUGGACCAGGCAAGUGAGGGUGAAAAGGGAGAGAAAAAUCAAUGGCCUUAACCUUCAUUUUAUCAAGAUUUUGUAGUAUAUCCCAUCUUUAUUUAGAGAGAUGAUUCAGAUAUUCCUGCACAUUUUUUUCUCACAAUUUCAUUUCCUCUUUGUAUAUUCUUAGGUGAAAAAAACAAACAGAGAAAUCUCACCGAGAGCCAAAGAAACCUGGACUGGUACCAGGAAAUAUCUGGAAACAUGAAAAAAAAAGUCUGUUUUUCUAGUAAUGUUCUUUCUCUGGGCAGUACUUUUGUGUGCCACUAGAUGUCCUGGCAGCAUCAGCCCUUGCACUGCAGCGCAGCUUGAAAAAAACCCACGGACCUGCAAACAUCGCAUCAUUUAUUCUAGGAAACUCCGUGUAUCAUGGAGAAUUGUCGAGGUUGGAUGGAAGGUAUCAGCAGUGUCAGAAAAUCACGAUGGAGGAGCAGCCUGCAGGCACAGCUCAGCACAGAAUGAGCCAGAUUGCCAUUUCAUGGUAAGUUUAUGUUUUGUGAGCCAGGGUACAGGUGGGGAGAGGGGAGGUGAGCAAGACAACACAGAUCAGGGCAGGAACCACUCAGGAUCCAAUUCCACAGUCCCUGGGGAAAGAGAAAAAAGCAGACCCAGGGCUCAGGGCUGGAGGCAGCCAAAAUCCAGGUGAGCUGCUGGGUUCACAGCAAUGAGACAGGGACAAGGCUGAGCUGGGGAGUCCAUCUGCACUUUGCGUGAUGGGAACCAGGGUCAGUCAUGGCCUGAUGAUGGCUGGACUGGUCCAGAGGACAGGGCAGUCUAAGGGGAGGUCAGAUGUGAGCCAGGCUCCGUAGCAGCAGGAUCUACAGCCAGGCACAGCCUGGGCUGGAACUCAGACCCCCUAAAACACGGGGCAAAACAAUUGGGCUUUCAGGCCAGAGUUUCAAUGCAGGGCAGAGGCCCCACGUAAGGCUGGCCAGGGCCAUCAGGGUUUAUCAGGUGUUUAUCAGGUUUUGAUAAGACCCCUCUGGGCUCUGAUAGGGCAUUCAAGAGCACCGCGGUCCCCUGUUGUGUCUGAGCGACCUGAGCAGUGUUGUAACAGCAGAGAGGAAACAGCUGUGAUGAUGGUGAUGGCCUCUAGGAAAGGAGUGUCCCCUUCCUUUCCUGGUGCUGUUUGGGUCCCAGUGUAUGAGAGGUUACAAGCGACAUCCACGUUCCUUAUCUCGGACGUGGAUAAUUCGGGUAGAAUUGUAAAAUCAAAGGGAAGCAGCUGUAAGGGUGGUAACUCUGGGGGGAAAGGUACAUCCUCUUCCCGCUGUGUCCUGGAAGCUGGAAGUGCUUGUCCAGGCUCUGAGAGUUGUGAUUUUUCUUGCUUUGCAUAAGUAAACAAACACAGAGUAAAGAGGUUUCGAUUGAACUGCAGUUUAGGGAUUUAUUGUAUGUACUUUACAUGGUAUCUCAAUCGUUUAGCAGCCAAUCUGGCUGUUUUCAAGGGGGAUUGGGGUUUCCUAAACAAAGUCCUGGCUUUCUAAAAAUGGAAUUGCUUCUAGCUGGGUUUUGGAGCUGAAUCUGGGAGUGUUCUGAAUCAUAACAACAGGGGAGAUAAACAAAGAAUUUACAGGAAUAGGCCCAUAUCUGGAUAGCAGAUCUGCAUGGUCUCGUUCUCAGCCUGGCUGAGGGAAAAUUCCUAC
ensembl:lncRNA